rnacentral:rRNA from 1 species
UCAGGACGAACGCUGGCGGCGUGCCUAACACAUGCAAGUCGAGCGAUGAAGUCCUUCGGGAACGGAUUAGCGGCGGACGGGUGAGUAACACGUGGGUAACCUGCCUCAAAGAGGGGGAUAGCCUCCCGAAAGGGAGAUUAAUACCGCAUAACAUUAUUUUCUCGCAUGAGAAGAUAAUCAAAGGAGUAAUCCGCUUUGAGAUGGACCCGCGGCGCAUUAGCUAGUUGGUGAGGUAACGGCUCACCAAGGCGACGAUGCGUAGCCGACCUGAGAGGGUGAUCGGCCACAUUGGAACUGAGACACGGUCCAGACUCCUACGGGAGGCAGCAGUGGGGAAUAUUGCGCAAUGGGGGAAACCCUGACGCAGCCAACGCCGCGUGAGUGAUGAAGGUCUUCGGAUUGUAAAGCUCUGUCUUUGGGGACGAUAAUGACGGUACCCAAGGAGGAAGCCACGGCUAACUACGUGCCAGCAGCAGC